GAAUCCCGUCUCUGACACGGACUACCAGGGCUUUGUGGUAUGCUCUCAAAGAGUCGAGUUGUUUGGGAAUGCAGCUCAAAAUGGGUGGUAAAUUCCAUCUAAAGCUAAAUAUUGGCGAGAGACCGAUAGCGAACAAGUACCGUGAGGGAAAGAUGAAAAGAACUUUGGAAAGAGAGUUAAACAGUACGUGAAAUUGCUGAAAGGGAAACGCUUGAAGUCAGUCGCGUUGACUGGGGAUCAGCCUUGCUUUUGCAUGGUGUACUCACUAGUUGACGGGUCAGUAUCAAUUUUGAUUGCUGGAAAAAGGCUUGAGAAAUGUGGCAGCUUCGGCUGUGUUAUAGUCUCUUGUCACAUACAGCAGUUGGGAUUGAGGAAUUCAGCACGCCGCAAGGCCGGGUUUCGACCACGUCCGUGCUUAGGAUACUGGCAUAAUGGCUUUAAGCGACCCGUCUUGAAACACGGACCAAGGAGUCUAACAUGCCUGCGAGUAUUUGGGUGGUAAACCCGAGUGCGUAAUGAAAGUGAAAGUUGAGAUCCCUGUCGUGGGGAGCAUCGACGCCCGGACCAGAACUUUUGGGACGGAUCCGCGGUAGAGCAUGUAUGUUGGGACCCGAAAGAUGGUGAACUAUGCCUGAAUAGGGUGAAGCCAGAGGAAACUCUGGUGGAGGCUCGUAGCGAUUCUGACGUGCAAAUCGAUCGUCAAAUUUGGGUAUAGGGGCGAAAGACUAAUCGAACCAUCUAGUAGCUGGUUCCUGCC
rnacentral:rRNA from 1 species